UCUCUGUUGAGAAUAGGUUUAAUAGUAGUGAUUGUAGUGAGUGGAGACUGGAAAUAUCAAUUGAUACUUUAAGAGCACUUCGAUGCUCAGUACAUCACAAGGCAGAUAAUGUUUCCACUUCCUUAAAAAGGGAUCUAAGCUAUUAAUUUUCCUUGCUAUAUAUCUUGCA